rnacentral:sRNA from 1 species
GACCGAAACAGCCGUGUC